rnacentral:rRNA from 2 species
AUGCCUCAGUAACGGCGAGUGAAGCGGCAACAGCUCAAAUUUGAAAUCUGGCCCCCCGGCCCGAGUUGUAAUUUGCAGAGGAUGCUUCUGGCGCGGUGCCUUCCAAGUCCCCUGGAACGGGGCGCCAUAGAGGGUGAGAGCCCCGUCCGGUUGGCCGCCAAGCCUGUGUGAAGCUCCUUCGACGAGUCGAGUAGUUUGGGAAUGCUGCUCUAAACGGGAGGUAGACCCCUUCUAAAGCUAAAUACCGGCCAGAGACCGAUAGCGCACAAGUAGAGUGAUCGAAAGAUGAAAAGCACUUUGAAAAGAGGGUUAAACAGUACGUGAAAUUGUUGAAAGGGAAGCGCUUGUGACCAGACGUGCGCCGGGUGUUCAGCGGGCGUUUUCGCCCGUGCAUUCGCCCCGGCGCAGGCCAGCGUCGGUUCGGGCGGGGGGAUAAAGGUGUCAGGAACGUAUCUCCCUCGGGAGUGUUAUAGCCUGGCGCGUCAUGCCCCCGCCUGGACCGAGGUUCGCGCUCCGCAAGGACGCUGGCGUAAUGGUCCCCAGCGGCCCGUCUUGAAACACGGACCAAGGAGUCGAGGUUUUACGCGAGUGUCUGGGUGUCAAACCCGCACGCGUAAUGAAAGUGAACGUAGGUGGGAGCUUCGGCGCACCACCGACCGAUCCUGAUGUUUUCGGAUGGAUUUGAGUAGGAGCGUAGGGCCUCGGACCCGAAAGAUGGUGAACUAUACUUGGAUAGGGUGAAGCCAGAGGAAACUCUGGUGGAGGCUCGCAGCGGUUCUGACGUGCAAAUCGAUCGUCAAAUCUGAGUAUGGGGGCGAAAGACUAAUCGAACCAUCUAGUAGCUGGUUACCGCCGAAGUCUCCCCCCUCA